rnacentral:misc_RNA from 1 species
UCACGUCUUACGACGGCAGUCUCACAUGAGUCCCCAACUUAAUGCUGGCAACAUGCGACGGGGGUUGCGCUCGUUGCGGGACUUAACCCAACAUCUCACGACACGAGCUGACGACAGCCAUGCACCACCUGUGAUCCUGCCCCGAAGGGAAACUCUGUUUCCAGAGCGGUCAGGAACAUGUCAAGCCCAGGUAAGGUUCUUCGCGUUGCGUCGAAUUAAACCACAUGCUCCGCUGCUUGUGCGGGUCCCCGUCAAUUCCUUUGAGUUUUAGCCUUGCGGCCGUACUCCCCAGGCGGGGCACUUAAUGCGUUAGCUUAGGCACGGAGGGAGUCGACACCCCCCACACCUAGUGCCCAUCGUUUACAGCGUGGACUAC